UUGAAUUUUUCCUGUGGGGAGCUGGGGUAGUGUGGGAUCCAGGUGGAGUCUCAACCUCUCCCCUCAGUGACAGACUCAGAAGAGGGUGCGGAACUCCAGAGCUGGCUGAAACAACGGAGAGAGAAGUAGGGGUUUUCUCCCGGAGAUCAGCUAUGAAGUCCCAGGGAGGAUGACCAUUAUUCACACGACUGUCAUCUGGGGAGAGACCCCAAGUUAAGAUCAAGAGAAAAAAGCGGGAAACAAAAUGGUAAAGACAACAAGAUGAGAAAAUCAAUGCCCAGAGAUUCUAAGUGAAGCCACCUCAGUGACAUAGACUGCUGAGACCCAACUCUGGAACCUCUCUCCCGUCCUUCCCUCUAGACUUAGCAGCUCUGCAUGCCUGCCUCUCUCACCUGGAUGCUUUGGAGCCAAGCUUUCGUCCCAUGCAAGGGAAACAACCACUUCUGGGAUGUCCGCUGCAAUCUGCUCCGGGGCUGCAG